rnacentral:rRNA from 1 species
UGGGGAAUAUUGCACAAUGGGCGCAAGCCUGAUGCAGCCAUGCCGCGUGAGUGAAGAAGGCCUUAGGGUUGUAAAACUCUUUCACCGGUGAAGAUAAUGACGGUAGCCGGAGAAGAAGCGCCGGCCAACUCCGUGCCAGCAGCCGCGGUAAUACGAAAGGGGCUAGCGUUGUUCGGAAUUACUGGGCGUAAAGCGCACGUAGGCGGCCUUGUAAGUUGGGGGUGAAAUCCCGGAGCUCAACUCCGGAACUGCCUCCAAAACUACAAAGCUAGAGGAUGCGAGAGGAUAGUGGAAUUCCGAGUGUAGAGGUGACAUUCGUAGAUAUUCGGAAGAACACCAGUGGCGAAGGCGACUGUCUGGCGCAUAUCUGACGCUGAGGUGCGAAAGCGUGGGGAGCAAACAGGAUUAGAUACCCCUGUAGUCC